AGUGCUGGGCAUUGCCGGCAAACGUCUCGCAGCGGCUGAGGUUCUCCUCCUGCACCGGGCUGCCCACGUUCUCCUCGCUUGGCCCCGAGGCCGCUGCGCCCUCCUGGGAGUUCUGGCUAAGAUCUUCCAGGAUAAAAAGGAAAGUGUAAAUGCUGCCAGCUACUAAUUGCUGUUGAUUCACUCCUUUGUCUCAGAGGAUCUGAGCAGCUGCCAAGGCAGGAGGCUGCACAAAAAAAAUGAUGAGACAAAAGAGGAACUUCCUGAUCAGAAAGAAGAUUUUGUAGGGCUCGAGUCUCAUGUACAUUUGCUGGUUUUGUAUGUCUGAAGAUAGAUCAGCCAUGUAGCCACUGCCAGUUCCCAGCAAUGACUCUGUUCUUCUGAUGUUGAGCCUGCACAUUUACCAUCAGUUCCCUGUCUCAUCAGGCAGGCAGAGCUUCUUGCUGAGCCUACAAGCCUCUGGGGCUCUGGUUAGCAGAACUGACCACCCAAACGCAAUGAAGGACCCUCACUGCAGAAGAGCAGGGCUAUAGAAAUGUCAAAUAAAAAGAACUCCCCCCUAACCUGCUUUGCAUCAUAUUUGGUUUGCAAGAAGAGUCACCAUUUCCUCCAGCCCAUCCCAGGAAUUCCAGAUUUAGCACAACCCAUGUUUAGUGUGGCAGAGGCACCCUAUUUCUAAAACACGGGCUGAAAUAUACUUUACAAGACAGGGUUGCUGUUCUUCCCUUGCACUGUUCCCAAAACAUUUCAUACAUUGUUAGGGGUUGGGAAAGGAGACAAUGGGAAAACUACACAAGGAAAAACAUUCUGUGUUUCAGGGGAGAAAAUAAAAUGUGAACGGAACAA